AGAUCGAACCAUAGAGUUUGAUCGUGGCUCAGAUUGAACGCUGGCGGCAUGCCUUACACAUGCAA
rnacentral:rRNA from 1 species